AGCUUUGCGCAGUGGCAGUAUCAUAACCAAUGAGGUUUAUCCGAGGUGUGAUUAUUGCUAAUUGAAAACUUUUCCCAUUUUCCUGCACCUUGUCAAAUUUCUGGGCAUAGAGGUUUUUU
ensembl:snRNA U4 U4 spliceosomal RNA